UACGGGGGGGGCAAGCGUUGUUCGGAAUUACUGGGCGUAAAGGGCUCGUAGGUGGCCAACUAAGUCAGACGUGAAAUCCCCAGGCUCAACUUGGGAACUGCGUCUGAUACUGGAUGGCUUGAAUUCGGGAGAGGGAUGCAGAAUUCCAGGUGUAGCGGUGAAAUGCGUAGAUAUCUGGAGGAAAACCGGUGGCGAAGGCGGCAUCCUGGACCGAGAUUGACACUGAUGAGCGAAAGCCAGGGGAGCAAACGGG
rnacentral:rRNA from 1 species